rnacentral:lncRNA from 1 species
UGGGUGUGUGUGUGUGUGUGUGUGUGUGUGUGUGUGUGUGUGUGUGUGUGUGUCAUUACGUAGGCCAGUGGGUGUGUGUGUGUGUCAUUACGUAGGCCAGUGGGUGUGUGUGUGUGUGUGUGUCAUUACGUAGGCCAGUGGGUUGUGUGAGAUGAGUGGGCCAGUGGUCCUCGUGGAAGAAAAACACAAUUAUUUCAGCCUCUGGCUAUUCACGCAAAGGUGACAAAAGCUGGUAUGAAGUAUGAAAUCCCCAAAGUUUUCCUCGUUCGACAAAUUGGAAUUAAUUUGAGCUUCUGGUGUGUUUUUUAAAAGUUAGAACCGCACCUCUCUGUGUGUGUGUGUGUGUGUGUGUGUGUGUGUGUGUGUGUGUGUGUGUGUGUGUGUGUGUGUGUGUGUGUGUGUGUGUGUGUGUGUGUGUGUGUGUGUGUGUGUGUGUGUGUGUCACUCUGGCCAAAACCGUUCCAACAUAAGCCCAAUGCGUUUCUAUUGGCUUAUAUUGGACCUUAGCUUGUCGCCUGCCUUCCUGCCUUUGGGACAACGACUCCCAUUGUUCGAGCAGAGACAUGAGCAUCUCGUCAUUACAUAUAGAUCUCUGGCGAAGAGCGUGAGCCAGGGUGAGGGAGAGAGAGAGGAGGAAGGCAGGCCAGCGUGUGGGAGAGAGAGGAGGAGAAGGAAGGCAGACCAGCGUGUGAGAGAGAGAGAGGAGGAGGAAGGCAGGCCAGCGUGUGGGAGAGAGAGGAGGAGGAGAAGGAAGGCAGGCCAGCGUGUGGGAGAGAGAGGAGGAGGAGAAGGAAGGCAGGCCAGCGUGUGGGAGAGAGAGGAGGAGGAGAAGGAAGGCAGGCCAGCGUGUGGGAGAGAGAGGAGGAGGAGGAGAAGGAAGGCAGGCCAGCGUGUGGGAGAGAGAGGAGGAGGAGAAGGAAGGCAGACCAGCGUGUGAGAGAGAGAGAGAGGAGGAGGAAGGCAGGCCAGCGUGUGGGAGAGAGAGAGGAGGAGGAAGGCAGGCCAGCGUGUGGGAGAGAGAGAGGAGGAGGAGGAAGGCAGGCCAGCGUGUGAGAGAGAGAGAGGAGGAGGAAGGCAGGCCAGCGUGUGGGAGAGAGAGAGGAGGAGGAGGAAGGCAGGCCAGCGUGUGAGAGAGAGAGAGGAGGAGGAAGGCAGGCCAGCGUGUGGGAGAGAGAGAGGAGGAGGAGGAAGGCAGGCCAGCGUGUGAGAGAGAGAGAGGAGGAGGAAGGCAGGCCAGCGUGUGGGAGAGAGAGAGGAGGAGGAGGAAGGAAGACCAGGGUGAGAGAGAGGAGGCGGCAGGCAGGCCAGUGUGAGGGAGAGAGAGGAGGAGGCCAACGUGAGAGAGGAGGCAGGCAGGCCAGUGUGAGGGAGAGGAGACAAACAGG